CACGUAGGCACCAAGCGUUGUCCGGAUUUAUUGGGCGUAAAGAGCUCGUAGGCGGUUCGGUUAGUCGGGGGUGAAAACUUUGGGCUCAACCCAAAGCGUGCACUCGAUACUGCCGUGACUAGAGUUCGGUAGGGGAGUGGGGAAUUCCUAGUGUAGCGGUGAAAUGCGCAGAUAUUAGGAGGAACACCGGUGGCGAAGGCGGAUCUCUGGGCCGUAACUGACGCUGAGGAGCGAAAGCAUGGGGAGCGAACAGG
rnacentral:rRNA from 1 species